UUAUCAACGAGGGCAGGAACAAGUUCCGCUGAUGGUAACUGGAGACGGGCAUUGGCAUUGAUGGAGUGCUCGUGUGCUAGCUUGAGAUCAAGGCAGUGCAGCUGUUUCGGGAUGCCACUAGAUGCCACAUGCCGAUAAAGACAAAGAGGUGGAUCAUCUGAUCUUGAAAUAGGUCAUCCCGGCUAUCCCAAUCUUUUAUAUGUUCAUUUCGUCAGGUAUCAUAUUCAUUCUACAGGACCAAAACGAGGCCUUAUAAGUUUCCUGAUGUACCUGCAUUCUGAUAUUAUAUCGCGCUGAAAUAUUUUCAUAUCAUUCUAUGUUUAGAAACAUCAUUUUUACUAUUAACUAAUGCUUCUUAUAUCUGCAGUAACUCGAGCACUAUAUUAAUACAAUGUCUUAUACAUGCCUCUUGAUGUGGUGAACUCAGUUUCUGUUUAGACAGAGGAGAGAGUAAGAGAGAAACGUACCUAGUGUUGAACAUUUUCGUUCUCCAUCGAUGGUGUCCACAGCGGUUAACACGAAGACAAACCGUAGAAGAAAUGUAAAAAGCAGGAGGGAAUAGAAGACCACGAGGUACGAUAUUCGUCUUGAGCCAACUUUUACUUUGAUGAAAUUCUUGAAACCUUUGGCUGGUAGGACAGUAACAUGCCUCAAACUCGGCGAUAUGAGGAGCUGCAUUGUGUGUUUCAUUCAAAAUGUUGUUACUAUUUUGUGUUGUUGGUCUAGCUAUUGAUCAAUUGGCAAUCACUCAUAAUAAGGUUGUUGAUGUUCAAAGUUGCUGUCAUUCACCUAACCUUGCUUAGCAUGAAGGUUACAAAUUUUCUUGACAGAGAAGAAGACUAUGUUGAUUGUAGUAGUAGUAGUUUAACUUCUACACAUUGAGGAGUUGUUUCAUUUGCGAACAAGUUAUUCUGGGAUUGUUAUAAUAGCAGGAUCGUUAAACGGGGAUUAUAUGGUAACGAGAUACUUUGCAGAUGUCUUGGUGUAACUGGUAAAGUUGUUGUCAUGUGAACGGGGACUACAUGGUAAUGAGAGAUUUUGUGGAUGUCUUGGCGUAAUCGGUAAAGCUGUUGUCAUGUGGACGGGGACUAUAUGGUAAUGAGAUAUUUUUGGAAUGUCUUAGCGUAACUGGUAAAGUUGUUGUCAUGUGAACGGGGACUAUAUGGUAAUGAGAUAUCUUGUGGAUGUCCUGGCGUAACUGGUAAAGUAGUUGUCAUGUGGACGGGGACUAUAUGGUAAUGAGAUAUUUUGUAGAUGUCUUGGCGUAACUGGUAAAGUUGUUGUCAUAUGAACGGGGACUAUAUGGUAAUGAGAUAUCUUGUGGAUGUCUUGGAGUAACCGGUAAAGUUGUUGUCAUGUGAACGGGGACUAUAUGGUGAUGAGAUACUUUGUGGAUGUCUUGGCGUAAUUGGUAAAGUUGUUGUCAUGUGAACGAGGACUAUAUGGUAAUGAGAUAUUUUGUGGAUGUCUUGGCGUAACUGGUAAAGUUGCUGUCAUGCGACCAGGGGUAACAGGUUCGAGUUGUGGAAAGAAUAUCUUGCAGAAACGCUGGUUAACUUUGCGUACAAUAGACUCUUGUGGUUCUCGGUUGUGCACUGGGCAGCCAUUUUACCUUUUUAUAGACGUUUGGAUAUAUGGCGUAUAAUAUAAACCAUGCGUUUGGUUGUAACCAUCAACAACAACAACAUACCCAGUAUAUUCCCACCAAGUAGGGUCUGGGGAGGGUAAGUGUAAGCAGUCCAUACCACUACCUCAGAUGUGAGAUAGAGAGGCUGUUUCCGAUAGACCCCCGGCUCAAAAUAAAACAAUCUAGACAAGGUUUGGUUGUAACCAUCGAGUUAAAAAAAUGAAAGGUGUGACCUAGUCGUCAAUACAGCAAUUAAAGAUAUCGUCACGUUUAUAUUCCAGCGAAGAUAAAAAUACUACGUGAUUCAUUCCAUAUGUCUUAGUCUUGGUCGACAGAGUUAUCUGUUGCUGGUUGGAGGUGGACGGUAUCUUAUGAAAUUUAUCGAAGUGCGUGCAAGCUGUCUACCACAAUUAUAAAAUAAAAAUAGGAUAGAUUACCUGCUAUAACAGUCAAAAAUAUAGUAUAGAAUAAGUUUUUUGUAAAUUUUUUUUUUUUUUUUUUUUAUAAAAAAAAAACAAGUGUACAAAUUAGAGAAAAAGAGAAAAGAUAGUUUGGUGUUGUUUCACUUUGCCUUCACAUGAAGUAUUGUAAAGAUUGAAAAAACAUGAGGGAAAGUAUAGGCUUUGUUGAUUUGAACAGAGUUUCUAAUAGACAAUGACUUAUUGUCUUC